AAAGUCGUAACAAGGUUUCCGUAGGUGAACCUGCGGAAGGAUCAUUAGUGGAUUCACACCAUGUGUGAAGCUACCCUGUGCUGUGUAUUGUGCAAGCGUGGCCAGUGAUGGCCAUGUUGCUUUUUAACCACCCAUCUCAUUCAUUUUAUUUCUGAACCACCCAAAAAAACAACCGAAAACUGCCAGCAAUGGAUCACUUGGUUCUC
rnacentral:misc_RNA from 1 species